UACGUAGGGUGCAAGCGUUGCCCGGAAUUACUGGGCGUAAAGUGUGCGCAGGCGGCCGCGCAAGUCGAGUGUGAAAGCCCCGGGCUUAACUUGGGAAUUGCGCUCGAAACUACGUGGCUGGAGUAUGGCAGAGGAAGGUGGAAUUCCACGUGUAGCGGUGAAAUGCGUAGAGAUGUGGAGGAACACCGAUGGCGAAGGCAGCCUUCUGGGCCAAUACUGACGCUCAUGCACGAAAGCGUGGGGAGCAAACAGG
rnacentral:rRNA from 1 species